AAGCUUAGGUCCUGGAAACUGCCCGUUUACAGAAACAAGGCUCUUUGUGUGGCAAAGACGUGUCACGUUCUGCAUUUUGAUCUGCGAAAACGUAGAGGAAGAAGGAGAACACAAGAGAAAAUAGCUAAGAGAAGCUGAAACGCCAUUUGAGUGAGCUUUGGACCCCGAGGCUUUGAUUAUAGCAAGUGAGGAACUUUUUAAAGGAGAUUUAACCGAUGUGGAGUUGGUCAAAACAUUCGUAAGCUAAAAUUGCUUGGGGUAUAAGCAAGGAGAGGGAGAUUGUAGCUAUCAAAGAAGGUCACGAUUAGGGUUAGAUAUCAAAAUCCAUGAAGGCAAUUUCCAAUAUAUUUUUUCCUUCUUUUUAAUAUAUUAGAACAUUGAGGAAACCUCAAAUUAAGGUUGGCUAUUUUAUUUCCCAAGCAAGUGACCUAACUCCCUUUUAUGUUCGUAUCCUCAAAGGCAUGCCACUUAUACAUGUUUCUCUAUACUUAUAUAC